rnacentral:rRNA from 1 species
GAUGAACGCUGGCGGCGUGCUUAACACAUGCAAGUCGAACGAAGCACUUUAUUUGAUUUCCUUCGGGACUGAUUAUUUUGUGACUGAGUGGCGGACGGGUGAGUAACGCGUGGGUAACCUGCCUUGUACAGGGGGAUAACAGUUGGAAACGGCUGCUAAUACCGCAUAAGCGCACGGCAUCGCAUGAUGCAGUGUGAAAAACUCCGGUGGUAUAAGAUGGACCCGCGUUGGAUUAGCUAGUUGGUGAGGUAACGGCCCACCAAGGCGACGAUCCAUAGCCGACCUGAGAGGGUGACCGGCCACAUUGGGACUGAGACACGGCCCAAACUCCUACGGGAGGCAGCAGUGGGGAAUAUUGCACAAUGGGCGAAAGCCUGAUGCAGCGACGCCGCGUGAGCGAAGAAGUAUUUCGGUAUGUAAAGCUCUAUCUGCAGGGAAGAUAAUGACGGUACCUGACUAAGAAGCACCGGCUAAAUACGUG